UUUCCGUAGGUGAACCUGCGGAAGGAUCAUUAACAAAUCAUGAUGUGGGUUGGGUUGCCUCGCGGCUUCCCAUACUCAACAUAUUAACCCGAACCUGUGCAGCAAUGCCAGGCUAGGUGUGGGCGCGAUCUCUUCACAGAGUCAUGCCUUCGGUGAAGCGCUUCUGGCGUGGAUCCACAUAGACGCUUGUUUAUGUUUGACUGUUUUACAAUUGACCUUUGAAAAAAGACAACUUUUAACAAUGGAUCUCUUGGCUCUU
rnacentral:misc_RNA from 1 species